AUCCGAGCUCGAGCUCUACUCAAUACUCCUUUAAGCUCGUUAGGCUCGAAGAUUAAGGGCAUUUUCGUCAUUUUAAUGUAUAUUUGGUACUCUAACCCAAAGUCAUCUCCCGUCUGUAGCCCUAAUUUUUCUUUCCUUUUUUGGUCUUAUCCUUUCCCGUCCCACAGCCAUUAGCCAGUCACUCUCCAAAUUUCCAUUCUCACCCCGCACCCCACAGCCUCCAUUUUCAUAGCAACCACACGCCGCACCUUCACCCUCUAUUCUCACCGCAGCUGCAUGCUGCACCCUGCAUUCUCACCACCAGGCACAGCCGCGCGCCAGCACCCUUCAUUCUCACCGCAGCCGCAUCCUCUAUUCUCGCCACCACCAUCACUGACUCAUCAUAUGGAGCAGCCUCACCCUCCUUGUGAAUCCGUGAGCAGCGUCAUACGGAGCCACCUCGAUAGAGCCAGGAGCCUCUACCAUAUCCCGAUUCGCUGCAUUCUGGUUCAUCAUCAAGUCCUGUGAUGGAGCAAAAUAAUGAAGACGUGGAACAAUUGAACUACAAUGAAGAAAGAGCUGAUGAAUUGAGUGAAAAAGAGAUAGAAAUGAUAGAAGAUGAUGGCAAUGAAGGAGGACAGCAAUUAGAUGGAGAUGGAGGAGCUUUAGGUUUUGGCUUUAUAUAUUCGAGCUUGUUGAAGUAUUAGAUUCUGCCUUGUAUUGUCAUUUGGCAUGAUUUGUCGAAUUGAAGAUGAUAAAUCAGGGAAUGUGUAUCUUCUUUUGUCAGCCUAAAUACGAGUGUUGCCAGGACCUGA